GACGAACCGUGCGAACGUUAUUCGGAAUCAUUGGGCUUAAAGGGCGCGUAGGCGGCGGCGUAAGUUGGAAGUGAAAUCCCAUCGGCUCAACCGUGGAAUUGCUCCCAGUACUGCGUCGCUCGAGGGGGAUAGGGGUCUGCGGAACUACCGGUGGAGCGGUGAAAUGUGUUGAUAUCGGUGGGAACGCCAGUGGCGAAAGCGGCAGACUGGACCCUUCCUGACGCUGAUGCGCGAAAGCCAGGGGAGCAAACGGG
rnacentral:rRNA from 1 species